rnacentral:lncRNA from 1 species
GGCGCCUCCCCUGCCCCAGGCCCCCGCCCACACACCCGUUCUCACACCCACGCUCCCAUCUCUCUCUGUGCAGCCACGCUCGCACCCACACACACGCUCUCACCAGGGGCGCCCCCCCCCAUGCACGGAGACCGCCACGCGGCCUGUUGGGGGCCUCUCCAGUGCCCCUCUGCGCUCCUUCUGCACGUGCCCAGGAGCAGCCACCCCAGCAAUGCCCCAUGACAGUCUAGCCCACCUGGCGGGAGGCCAGGGAGGAGGGCGUUGCCCCUCGGGCUCUCUGCCCACCUACGUCCAGCUGGGCCUCACAGCUGCUGCCGAGAAGAGCCAACAGGGCAGAGCCGGGAGGCCAAGACAAGGCCUGGCCGGAACCCAGGCCACCACGCUGACCAGGAGCCCAGGAGGAAGCAGGAGAGCCGUCUCCUGGGGGCUGUGACGUCGUCGGGCCAGGCCCCGGAGCCGGUUCUUGUUCAGUUCCACCAAAAUGACCUCGUGGGCUAUGUGCACGGACAACAGGACGUAUUCCCACGUGGAGCCAUGGAGUCACUCCCUCCCCUCGGCAACCAGCCUCCGAGGGCGCAGGCCCCUUCGAACCCCUGCUGGACUCGAGCGAUGCGCGAGCAACUGAGUGCGGAGAGUCCAGCCAGCUGGUCGACGAGGCCGGGUCCCCCACCACCC